CAUUUCUAUUUAUUUUAUAAAAAUACUACUGGUUGUUUAUCUAAUACAUAGAAAUAGUCUAAGACUAUAAAGUGUUAGAUUUUUAAAAAAACGCCUACAUAAAACCCUCUAAUCUCUUUCUCUCUAGCCGGCUGCCCCUCUUCUUUCUCUCUCUAAAACUUUUCUUCUUUUUCAUCUUUUGUUCAAGAUUUGGUAAGGAUCUUUUAGAUCUAUGAAAAUAAGCAAAUGUUUAACACAAAUCUAUAUAAAAAACGUAUUGUAUAUGUAUAUAUGUAUUCAGAUUUAUUGAUUUAAAAGAGGAACAGCAUGGAUUUCAAUAAAUUUAUAAGAAACCGAAAUAUCUAUGGUGUUAAUCAUUGGAUCGGGUUGGUUAUGGGUAAGAUCUGUUCGGUUUUUUGGGUUAAUCAACAAAACCUUCAUCUUUUUCUUCUUUUCAAGAUCUUGGUAAGUAAUAUCUAAGGUGAUUUCGGUGUUAGAUCUGCGUUAGAUCUGGUGCGAUUUCGGUCAAAUUGAGAUCGAAAAGGUGGUUGUUUGUUUGUUUCUUGUAAUAGAUCGAAAAUGUGGUUUUUUUAGUAUAAUGUUUCUUUUUCAUUUUUUGUUUCUUUGUGUUACAGAUUAUAGAUUUUCAUGCAGAAAGAAGAUCUGCAUAGUCGAUUAUAAAGUUCACAUUGAAGAAAAAGAUUCGAAGAUGAUGUUUUCUUGAUGAUGUUGUAAUUUGUAAAUGAGAUUUAGAUUUCUAAAUUAAAGUUAAUGUAUAAAUAAAUUAUUAUUAUAUGUAUCUGAUUUUUUAUUGGUUGAAUA